rnacentral:lncRNA from 1 species
AGGGAUAUAAACAAGAUUCAGUGGAAGGUACUUUGCUUUAUAGGUUAGAUUCUGAAGCAGUGCGGAUGUUUCACGUGAUCAUAAAAUAAGUGACCUAAACAAAUAUUGAAAGUGAAGCGGGGACAGGUGAAGCUGGGCAUCAAGUGGGUGACAUCACCCUGACCUCACGUAACCAAGCAUCCGAGGGGCUACAGCCAAAGGACCAAGAAAAAAAAACAGUAAACGACUUUCAGUGACUUUGAGUGGUAGCGCUGUGAUCCUUGGCUCAGCUACUGAGUAACUCUAGAGGAAAAGUUGAGUGAUUUUAACGGUACCACUGAGAACCCAGAUUUUCAGAAGGGGAGUGAGAAGAAAGAGGUUAAGGGAACGCUAUAAUCGUGAUUCCAAAGUAGAAGCUUCAGUACGAACUCCUGGUGUUUUAUUUCAAACACGCCCUGAUUCUGUCCACCGGAAGGCCUGGUAACCAUGACUACCCCUGACGCUACCGACCAGUCUGGUUUGCAGGUCAAGGCUUCCGAACGCCACUACA